rnacentral:rRNA from 1 species
GAUGAACGCUGGCGGCGUGCCUAAUACAUGCAAGUCGAGCGAACGGACGAGAAGCUUGCUUCUCUCAUGUUAGCGGCGGACGGGUGAGUAACACGUGGAUCACCUACCUAUAAGUCUGGGAUCACUUCGGGAAACCGGAGCUAAUACCGGAUAAUAUUUUGAACCGCAUUGUUCAAAAGUGAAAGACGGUCUUGCUGUCACUUAUAGAUGGAUCCGCGCUGCAUUAGCUAGUUGGUAAGGUAACGGCUUACCAAGGCAACGAUGCAUAGCCGACCUGAUAGGGUGAUCGGCCACACUGGAACUGAGACACGGUCAAGACGCCUAAGGGAGGGAGCAGUAGGGAAUCUUCCGCAAUGGGCGGAAGCCUGACGGAGCAACGCCGCGUGAGUGAUGAAGGUCUUCGGAUCGUAAAACUCUGUUAUUAGGGAAGAACAUAUGUGGAAGUAACUGUGCACAUCUUGACGGUACCUAAUCAGAAAGCCACGGCUAACUACGUG